UACGAAGGGGGCUAGCGUUGCUCGGAAUCACUGGGCGUAAAGGGUGCGUAGGCGGCGGGGCAAGUCUGAUGUGAAAUCCUGGGGCUCAACCCCAGAACUGCCUUCGAUACUGGCGAUCUCGAGUCCGGAAGAGGUGAGUGGAACUCCUAGUGUAGAGGUGGAAUUCGUAGAUAUUAGGAAGAACACCCGUGGCGAAGGCGGCUCUCUGGAACGCAACUGACGCUGAGACGCGAAAGCGUGGGGAGCAAACAGG
rnacentral:rRNA from 1 species